CACGUAGGCACCAAGCGUUGUCCGGAUUUAUUGGGCGUAAAGAGCUCGUAGGCGGUUCAGUAAGUCAGGUGUGAAAUCUUUGGGCUUAACCCAAAGCGUGCACUUGAUACUGCUGUGACUUGAGUUCGGUAGGGGAGUGGGGAAUUCCUAGUGUAGCGGUGAAAUGCGCAGAUAUUAGGAGGAACACCGGUGGCGAAGGCGGGUCUCUGGGCCGAUACUGACGCUGAGGAGCGAAAGCAUGGGUAGCGAACAGG
rnacentral:rRNA from 1 species